GCGAGAGGGACGAAGGGUGAGGCUGGAGGUGAAAGGUAGGACGAGAGGGACGAAGGGUAAGGCUGGAGGUGAAAGGAAGGACGAGAGGGACGAAGGGUAAGGCUGGAGGUGAAAGGUAGGACGAGAGGGACGAAGGGUAAGGCUGG